UGUGUGCCCCUUCCUCGAUGUGCGCAAGCUCGUCUUGGUCUGGGGACCACGUCGACACAGGGGAUACUUUUGUGAGAGCAAGAGUGUACUUAGUUGAGUGUAGCAAGGGAUCGCGUGCCCCUUCCUCGAUGGCGUAACGAACCAUCUUGGUCUGGGGACCGUGGUACCGUGCUCUGGUGAAGCUUGGUGCGUGCUCUUUCCUUGUCAGACGAGUGACUUGACUUGGUCUGGAGACCGUUCCUUAACACUAGUGGACAAGAGCUGGCUACUUCCGUGUCAGACGAGUGACUUGACACGGUAUGGAGCGGAACACGUAACACUAGUGAGCUUGUCGGC
rnacentral:rRNA from 1 species